UUACUAAAUAAUAAUAAUAUUAUUAAUUCUUGAAUAACUUUUGAAAAUCUGCUCCGAAACUUAUUUGUUUUUCAAUUCCAUAAAUUAUGAUUGUUCAUGAGUGGAAAAGCUGUGAGUUUUUCGACCUUGUGUUAUUAUCCAGUUGUUGUAAAGUUAACGUACAAUCAGAAAUAGUUGCACAUUGCGCGAAUGGAAAUGUCUAUAUUUUCUGUGAGGUGUUGGGUUUCAUUCAUGUUUACUUCAGAAACUCUUGGACCAUUAGUUUUCGUUACCAAUGCUCUGAGCUUCGAUUCUGCGCUCUCACAACUAAUAACGAACUCUUGGUUUUAGUAGCUGAGGAACAAUCAUCUAAAAAAAUUCGUGUGGAAGUGUUAAACCUAGCAAAGCUUAGUAAGCGUGAAGGCGCUCCAUGUGUGGCUUCAGCAGUUCUAAAUCAGUAUGGACGUGUAACAACAAUCCGCACAUGCUUAUUAAAAGAUUAUUUAUGCAUUUCUAUUGGAUUGGAUAAUGGAAAUUUAUUAAUUCAUCGUUCGGUUAUGAGUAAGGAUAUGUCAUCUAAUUUUUUUUGUAUUUCAACUGGUAAAUGCAGCAUCAUCGGUAUAGAAUUUCAAUAUAGGAAAGAUUCCCUAUAUUUAUUUGUAUGUUCGGAAGAAAGAGUUGGUUUGUAUAAUAUAUUGGAUAAUAAUAUUAGUGCCGAACAAAAUUUGGAAUAUAUUUCGACUAUAAGUUCUAGUUCAAUUCUAUAUAAUUCAGAAAAUUCAUUUUUCUUGGUCGGCAGAGAGGAUGCCCUUUAUUGUUUUACCAUAGAUGGAAGAGGUCCUUGUUACGCCAUUGGUGGGAAAAAAAAAUAUAUUACUUGUCUAAAUAAUAAUAUUGUCAUAUUAAUUGAAUCUGAAGACAGUAGCCGUAGUUAUAUAAUAAUAAUAGAUACAUAUAACAAGGCUAUUGUUUUUCAAAAGGAAAUUCCAAACUUAAACAAAGAUAUAUUGGUAUCCAAUGACAUAUCCUGUUACAUUUUGAUGCGUAAUGCGAUUUACAUUACUAAGGAACGAAGUCUUCUUAACAAAAUAUUAACGUUAAUGAAUAAUAAUUUUUUUGAUCUUGCUUUAAGCCUUUGUGAGAAAAAAAAAGCUUUUGUUGGUUGUAUUUUGUUGACUUCUGGAGAUUACCUACUGUCUAAAGGUGACUCGAUAACUGCUACGUCGAAAUAUAAGGAAACGAUAGGCAUAAUAGAUCCCUACUUCAUCAUAAAGAGACUUUUAAAUGCAGAAUACAGUUAUCACUUAUCGUAUUACAUAAAUUAUUUUGUAAAUGUUAAUAAUACUUCAAAUACUCAAAUGGAACUUAUGAAAAGUUGUAAUAUAAGAAAUAACUUGUGUUUUAACUCUAGUACAGAUGUCGUCUCCUAUGAAAGUGAAUUUUCUAAAAACUGUUUUAGCGGUACAACAAUUUGUACAUUGUCGGAAUCCUAUGAGGAUGAAUUGUAUUAUGCGAUAACAAACCAGCCUAUGAUAAUUUCGAAACAUUGGAAAAAUAUUUUUGCUUUGCUUAAGGUGUCAAAAAAUCCUAUACGUUAUAUAUCACCUUUAAUUAAUACACAAGCAAAUUGUAUUGAAUAUUUGGAAUACUUAAUAUCUGUCCAUAAUAAAUUGGUUGUAUUUGACGUUCUCCUAGAAUUACAUUUGCUUGAAUGGUACUGUGAAAGAAAAAAUAUUUCACCUAUAUUAAAUUUUUUAAACAAAAAUUCUGGAGCAUAUUCGGAACAAAUUUUAAUACACUUUGUAAAUUAUUCGUUCUGGCCAGGAGUUGUUUACUUGUGUGAAAAUUUUAAAAUGUUACAAAUGUAUUUUAGAUAUUGCAUUAAGUAUAAUGAUUUAGAUAAUGCCAAUGUAAAGAAAAUAAGUAUUAUGAGUAAAAAUAUUAGUUUGCAGGCAAUAGAUAUAAUGAAAUGUAGUUCGCAAAUCGCAAAAGUUCAUUUAGACCGUAUAAUAACAAAUAUGCUUGAUGAAAAUAAGCAAAAUAUACUGGCACUAGUUCAAGCAAUAUCGGUUGCAAAAAUUUUUAAUGUAAUUCACCUAAAGCAACUAUUUUGCAAAAGGCAAUCAGACUACAAAACAAAAUCAUGUAUCGGUGUUAAAGUUAUGGUUAAUUCUCUGCGCACUUUUAUUGCUUCCUUAUCUAGUUUUAGAUUGUGUCCAAUUGAAUUUAGAAACAGUGUGUGCGCUAUUUGUAAAUGUAAGCUAAGUCUACCUUCUAUUUAUUUUUUAUGUCAACACGCUUGCCAUUUAGAAUGUGUUGACCACAGUUCAAGCGAUAAAUUUUGUCCUAAGUGUUUAGAUCCAAAAAAGUCAAUCAAUGAAUAUAAAAUCGAAAUAGAACAAAUUAAAUGGACUAUGCCUUAUACAAUGACAACAGUUUCUUUUUUAUUUUCAAAAAAAUGUUUAAACACUUCUAGCUAAUAAUUUUAUACAUUAUAUGUUUUUUUUAAUAAUUAAAGAAUAUAUAUAAUUUGUUACUGUGAUUAUUUUAGAGUAAUAUGCAAUAAUUUGUGAGUGCCGUGCGUUAAACUUAGGACAUAAAGUGAUGCAAAAAACUAAUUAAGUACAAAAAGAAAGAAUUCCGAAACCAUCAAAUCGCGGCGCUGAAAGAAUCGUAAUCGUGCCGGGAACCAUAUCAGGAACGGACCCUGGUUUCAAUUCGGCUAAUGACUAUCAACUCGGCAGCAUUCUUUAAAACUUCAGGAAUAUUUUCUACCUUUAAUAAUUUGCGAGUUCGUUCCCUGUAUGCAUUAAUACAAUAUUAUCAAUUAUUCCUGAAUAAGUGAUAAUCAAACAUAUAAUAUAUUAUUUUUUUAUAAGCACAUUUUGUCAUAUUUCGUUAUUGAAUGCAAUGAAGACGAUAAAAUAUAUAGAGAAAUAUGUUAUAUAAAUCUUUAUACAUAAUAUUAUGUUAUAACUAUUGGUAUCUCAUCUUUUAUUAAAAUAAAAAGUAAUUGAAUUAUAGAAAGGCCAAAAAAUGUAUCCUCAAAUAUACCUGAAUACUUUGUGUAUCGUUUUUUUGUGCAUAGUAUGCUUAAAAGAAUGCGGACACUAAAGAUUAAUUUAUUCUUGGUCGUAAGAAACUAUAUUCUAUAUGGACAAGUUUCCCAGUAGAUGGAGUAGUACGUAAUUAACCCCUACAAGACAAACAUGCAUUUUUCUCAAGAGUAUCUCAUACCUCUGCGCUAAUUGUUAAUCCAAUAUUGUUUAGGGGUUACUAUUAAUGAAUUUGGAGAAGUAUAUAAAUAUUGAGUUAUAUGCGAAUUAACAGGACUCCCCAGUGUUUGGCCAAAAUUACACUAACUUGCAUCAUUUUGUGACUAUCUAAUCAGUUAUUGCUCGUUUUAAAAAUUAAGGCAGUGUAGAAAAAAUCUGGACGACCUUCAAUUCUCGCGGAUGACAGUCAGCUUAAAAUCAAGCAAUUGGUCACAGCAGAUCCAUUCGUAACUGCCCAAGAAAUCACUACACAGCUUCAUUAAUUCAGUAAAAAAAAAAGAUAUUCUCUAAACUGAGCGAAAAGUAUCAUUAAUGCUAUGUUUAAAUCUCACAAGCCUCGUCGAAAACCACUCGAAAACAUAAUAAACCGUAGAAAACACAUUGACUUCGCUAAAAAAAUGCAUCUUGUGUUUUGGCGGAAUUUUUUACUCUCUGAUGGAUGUAAAUGUAACAUUUUAGGAUGUAAUGCAAAGUUAAAGUAUAGAGGAUAUCAAGAAGUAUACAACUCCAAAAAUACUAUUAAAUUAGUAAAGCACGGAAGUGAUAGAGUGAUGUUGUUGUUGUUGUUGUUGUUUUAACGGAAAUUUAAUCCCCGUUGGGAUGGUAAAUGUUAUUUGUGUUGUCGUCGAUGUCAUCUAACGGUAGGCCCAAGAAACGUGCUGUUUCGACGGGGUCGGACCAAAGGGUGGAGGGUGUUAGAUGGGUAGGGUUUGUAGGGCAUGCAAAGAGGUGGUCAGUGUCAUGCGGAGACUCGUUGCAUGCAGGACAUACAUUAGGUAUAUCAGGGUCUAUUCUGGAUAAGUAGGAGUUUAACCUGCUACAGUAUCCAGAACGAAGUUGCGCAAGGGUAACACGCGUUUCUCGCGGCAGCUGGAGCUCUUCGUCUGCGAUGGGUGGUGGUUUGACUCCAAGAACGCCAUUCACGGGAAGGGAGUCGGUGAAGGUGUUGAUGGCUCCGCUGUGGAUGGCGGUCAGUACCUGUCGAAAGUUAGUUGCGUCCGAAGUCCGGUCGGCGUACUGUACGACGUCGUCGACGUAAUCCAGGAAUGACCUUUUGAUGCUCCUAGGAGGCGGUUCCGCUCCAAGCAGAUGACUGCAGGGGUGAUUUCUGCGAAAGCAUCCCAGCAGGAACUGCCUGGAGAGGAGUUCAUUAUGCUCCUUAACUGGGAGCAUAAGCGUCUCACUGUGGAGGUGUUCAACGGGAAACUGUAGUUUCCUCAUCUGCGUACCACUGCAUCCAGGCGACCAUAUGGGGGCUGCGUAAUUGAGGACCGGCCGGCCGAUUGCCUUGUAUGUUGCCAACAACGUUUCUUUGUCUUUUCCCCAUGUGCUGCCGGAUAGCGACUUGAGGAUUUUGUUGCGGCUCUGUACUUUGGCGAUAAUCGCGGUCGUAUGAGGAGAGAAGGAGCAUAGACUGUCGAAUGUUACACCUAAAAUCUUAGGAUUGUUGACAGUCGGAAUUUUGACGCCGUCGACUGCAAUGUCUAUACUCCUUCGUCCAGUUUGUGAAUAUGGUCGCUGUGGAUUUGGUGGGGGAAAGUGUGAGAUUUCGUGCAGUGAGGAAACGAGACAGGUCGGAGAGGUAGCUGUUUACCUUCGAACACAUGCCAUCGAUUCCAUUGCCCGACGCCAAUAUCGUGCAGUCAUCAGCGUACGAGGUUAUGGAAACUCCUUCUGGUGGUUGUGGGAGUUUUGAGAUGUAGAAGUUAAACAGUAGUGGGGAGAGGACACCACCCUGCGGAACCCCCUGUUUAAUUCUUCUCAGUUUAGAUGUUUUACCUCGAAAUAGUACGGAUGACUGGCGACCGCUCAGAUAGUUCAUGGUCCACCCCUUUAGCCCUGGAGGGAGCGUAGUUGUUUCGAUGUCCUGCAGUAGCAUUGUGUGAUUGACCGUGUCAAAAGCUUUUGACAGGUCCAACGCUACGAGGAUAGUUCUUUCGCAGGAUGGUUUCUGGUUGAGGCCACGAACUAUCUGGACGUUUAUGACGCUAAGUGCUGUGGUGGUGCUGUGCACUUUUCGGAAUCCAUGCUGGUGGCUGGCUAGGCUCAGGUGGUGAGUGAAGGUCGGGAGUAGCAAGGCCUCAAGUGUCUUCACUACUGGGGAGAGGAGAGUUAUCGGUCGAUAAGAUUCCCCUUUGUUGGCGGGUUUCCCAUGUUUCAGUAGUGGGACCACUCUUCCGACUUUCCAGGUAUUUGAAGAGUGGUCAGCGACAGAUUGAGGACCUUGGUGAGAUAUCCUACUCCCGUCGAGCUUAGAUGAUUUAGCAUUAGCAUGUUGAUUCCAUCAGGGCCAAUGGAUUUGGAUGAUUUUGCUUUGUUGAUGACACCCUGAACCACCUCAUCGGUGAAAGUAAGUGGCGCGCCGUCGUUUGGCAUUUUGCGCAGCCGUCGGUAAACACAUCGUUUAGCUUUGUCUACCGAAGGGUGCAGUGUGAACUGCCGGCUAAAAUAGCUCGCGCACUUCUUCGGGUCCGAAGAGGCAUGACCAUUGAAUUGAACUUCAACUCGGUCGUCAUGUCUCUUCGGGUUAGACAGAGCUUUCACAGUAGCCCAAAGCUUACUCACUCCGGUGGAGAGGUUACAGGACUUCAGGUGCUCUAUCCAUUUCGUCCGCUUAUGUUGGUUUACCAUACGCCGAAUCUCCAAAUUGAGAUCCCAUAUUCGGGGAUCCCCGGGAUCGGCAUAGCGUAAGGUGUCGCGCUCAUUAGCUAAAACGGCUGCUUCUGCUGGGAAAUUGGGGCGGAUUUCCGCUAUUCUUCCAGCCGGGAUGAAGCGAGCGGUAGCUGCUGCGAUCACCUUCCGGAAUUGACGUUCGCCAACGCAUACGUCCAUAGGAAUAGGUAGAGCGUUGAAGGUGCUCUCAGUAAAUUCUGUGAAGCCGACCCAUUUAGCUUUGUUAAAGUUAAAGUAGGUGCGGUUGUCCACAGAAACAAAAUCAGGAGGCUUCUCGAUCGAAAUAAUUAUGGGCAGAUGAUCUGAUGCGAGAGUUAGCAUAGAUCGCCAGGUUAUGCUGUUUAUCAGACCACCGCUAGCAAUGGUAAUAUCAGGCGAGCUAUUACAGGUGCCCAUAACUCUGGUGGGGGCUUCGUCAUUCAUUGUGCAGAAUGUCGAAUCGUCAGUCUGUUCCUCCAGCUCCAUCCCCCUACGAUCGUUUGACAGGCAGGUAAGUCAGAGAGGGAGCUAUGUUGCCUGGUUGAGCUCCUGCGGACCGUAGAGUCCUCUGUUGGCCACUCGGAUUGAGUGGCGGCGCGGCGCGCGAACUAUGUGCGGAUUGCACAGCCGUAGAGGCUUGGGUCGCAGUAUUGCGCAGACAACAUGGGGCCACGUAACGCGUGGUCCACUCCCUAUGAGUCUUAAGGCCUGAGCAGGUCUUAAGAUGGCUCCAUUCAUUGCAUGUGUUACACCUGACCGAGGUGGAGUUUGGAUGGAGCCGUUUUGCGCAUACGCAGCAAAAUUCCUCCGGGCCCGGGUUGGACUCAAUGCCAGCGCGAGUCAGGAGGAUACGGAGCAACCCUGCUGCAAGGUAUUGCUCCAGUGACGACAAACACACAUUAACACUUACCGAUCCAAACGGGGUUAGAUCGCCGAAAGAACAGUCCUUGGUCGGAUGAAAUCCGAGUCAAUUCCGGUGCGUAGAACCGGCUGUCGUGGGAAUUGAGUGAUAGAGUGAUGGCUGCUGGUGGUGCUUAGUAAUAUGUCAAAUAUUGAGGUUCGUUCGUUGUGAAAUUACUGCGGCAGUGCUUACUUUGAUGCGACAGUGCAAAAGUCACACACAAACGCAGCAUAACUAUUUGGAAUGCGCGCUAAGAUGAAAGAGGAAUUAAGAAAGCAAUAAAUAUCUAACUGCAUGAAAUUCCUGUAGCCGAGAAUAUAAAGUUGCUAUCCAACAAAGUGAGCAUGAAUUACGGAUACGAAAAGCUCGAGUAAUAUCGAUUUAUUAUGAAAUAUUAAUGUUGACAACAGUACCUCUUUGUAAGGAAAUCAACCCAAGAAGUAUUUGGGCAUACAAGCGACAUGGGAACUUCUGGGAAAAGAAUGCUCCAUCAAUGAACGACCGCGUUUUUAAGGAAACCUUUCGCAUGAGCAGGGCAACCUUUGAAAUAUUGUGUGAAUAUGUCAAAGGUAUUACCAAACAGGAUUCAUGCUAUAGGAAGUGCAUCCCAUUGCAGAAAAGGGUAGCUGUUGCCGUCUACACAUUAAAAUCUUCGGCGGAGUAUGAAACUGUUGCACGACUAUUCGGUGUUUCGAAGGCAAUCGUCAGCGAAAUAUUUCUUGCUUUUUGCCAAGAAGUGUGGCAAUCAUUGCAUCCCAUUUAUUUAACAGAACAAUUAAGGAACAGUGAAAAAGUGGAUGAGUGUGUUCAUGGGUUUGAGAAGCUUGGCUUUCGGCAAUGUCUUGGUGCCAUAGACGGUUGCCACAUUAAAGUUCGGCCACCUGGGAAGGAUUGCACGGACUAUUACAAUAAUAAGGGGUGGUACUCCACAGUUUUAUUUGCCCUUGUAGAUUAUAGAUAUCGCUUUCUCUACAUUGGCUGCCCAGGUCGAUGCAAUGACUCGAAAAAUUUUCAAUGUAGCAAACUAAAUACUGCAUUGAAGGACCCAAUCUUCACUGCAAAAAGCAAAACUAUUAAUGGCGUGAAUGUUCUUGCGGGAGUUAUGGGUGAUUCGGCUUUCCGAUUUGCCAACAAUCUAAUGAAGCCCUAUCUAUUCCAAGUACAUCUUCCAGAGCAUGAAAAAAUUUUUAAUUACCAAUUGUCCAAAUGCCGAAGAGUGGUGGAAAAUCCGUUUGGACACCUAAAGGCUCGUUUUAGGAGAAUAGGGAAAGGAGUCGACAACCACAUCAAAAAUGUUCCUCUUAUAAUUAAAGCAGCCUGUACAUUGCAUAACUUUUUAAAUUGUCAUAAUAAUGUCAUCAACCACAAAUGGAUAGAAGAACAAACCACUUACGAAAGUAGUGUACGCCUGGAACAGCCCGAGCACACAGAUGCUGUAGGAGAUUUUGAAGCAGAACCUGAAACAAUUAGAAGAGCGAUUGCGAAUUCAUUUUGCAAGUUUGUUCUACAUUUACUCCGGAGUCGUCGAAAGUCCUGCAAGCUCAUCGCUUGAAAUGAAUUGGGAUUGGCUGCUCGUCGAAGGGUAGAUAGCAGCGCAACCAAUGUUGUCUUCUGGUUCCACAUCUUCAAUUAAAAUAAAAUAAUAAAUAAAAGAGCAAACAAAAGUUUCAUUUUUAUAUUACCCAUACUCUCUUGCAUGAGUUCUUUGAAAUUUACUGCUUUACUACCACUGAGUAUUUCUUCCACCUCCUUGUAGUGGAUCCAAGAGGAAGGCGAACCACCAGUCAUACCCACCGCAUUCUUUUCUAAUCUGUAAAAUAAAAUACAUAUUAUAAUGCUGUGAGUAUGCAGCAAAAUAUACUUUUUUAAUUUUAAAUGUACUUACUUGUAUCGAUUGGUAAAAUUAUGCACUUUUUCCUUUAUUUCAGCAGCAAUGUAGUUCAUCUGAUUUUUUGAACAUUUCUUUUCCAAACGCGCAAAGAUAUGAAAAUUUUCUUUUCGCGCUUCGUAAUUCUUCUAUACUAUCUGCCCAGUGCAAUAGCAGCAAUUUCUCUGCAUCUACUGUCCAUCUAACACGGUUUUUCCUUUUCCUAAUUACAAUUUAAUAAAAUUAUUAUAUAUAAGUAUAUUUGUAUGCAUAAAAAAUAAAAAUAUAUGAAUUCAAAUUUA